rfam:Ornithorhynchus anatinus chromosome 4, whole genome shotgun sequence.
GUGUCUCUUAAGCACUUACUGUAAGCACUCCCCUUGAAAAGGAUGGACAGGGUCCUACCGGCCUUUGAAACACAUAUAUGGCUAAGGAAUUGCCACUUACUUCGUGGCAUCUAACCAAGUUUUUAG